rnacentral:rRNA from 1 species
ACAGCAGUCGCCGCGGUAAUACGAAGGGGGCUAGCGUUGUUCGGAUUUACUGGGCGUAAAGGGCGCGUAGGCGGGCGAAUAAGUCAGGGGUGAAAUCCCAAGGCUCAACCUUGGAACUGCCUUUGAUACUGUUUGUCUUGAGUCCGGGAGAGGUGAGUGGAACUGCGAGUGUAGAGGUGAAAUUCGUAGAUAUUCGCAAGAACACCAGUGGCGAAGGCGGCUCACUGGCCCGGAACUGACGCUGAGGCGCGAAAGCGUGGGGAGCAAACAGGAUUAGAUACCCCAGUAGUCCCUGUCUCUUAUAC